rnacentral:rRNA from 1 species
GACGAACGCUGGCGGCGUGCCUAAUACAUGCAAGUCGAACGCAGUGGGGACGGGUGAGUAACACGUGGGUAACCUCCCAUCAGAGGGGAUAACACUUGGAAACAGGUGCUAAACCGAUACUGAUGGAUGGACUCGCGGUGCAUUAGCUAGGUGGUGGGGUAACGGCUCACCAAGGCCACGAUGCAUAGCUGGCCGGAGAGGAUGAUCAGCCACACUGGGACUGAGACACGGCCCAGACUCCUACGGGAGGCAGCAGUGGGGAAUAUUCCGCAAUGGGCGAAAGUCUGACCGAGCAACGCCGCGUGAGUGAAGAAGGUUUUCGGAUGGUAAAGCACUGUUAUUAGGGAAGCGUUAUCUAACGAGAAAGCAACGGCUAACUACGUGCCAGCAGCCGCGGUAAUAC